UCGGGCCGGUUCCCCGUUCGGGGGACGAGGGUGACGAGGUGGUGCAUGGUUGUCGUCAGCUCGUGUCGUGAGAUGUUGGUUAAGUCCCGCAACGAGCGCAACCCUCGCCUUUAGUUGCCAGCAUUCAGUUGGGCACUCUAGGAGGGACUGCCGGUGUCAAACCGGAGGAAGGUGGGAUGACGUCAAGUCCUCAUGGCCUUUAUGUCUAGGGCUACACACGUACUACAAUGGCCGGUACAAAGGGCAGCCACUCAGCGAUGAGGCGCUAAUCCCAUAAAGCCGGUCUCAGUCCGGAUCGCAGUCUGCAACUCGACUGCGUGAAGUUGGAAUCGCUAGUAAUCGUAGAUCAGCAUGCUACGGUGAAUACGUUCCCGGGCCUU
rnacentral:rRNA from 1 species